rnacentral:rRNA from 2 species
AUGAGACCUCAGGUCAGGCGGGGCUACCCGCUGAGUUUAAGCAUAUCAAUAAGCGGAGGA